rnacentral:rRNA from 1 species
UACGAAGGGGGCUAGCGUUGCUCGGAAUGACUGGGCGUAAAGGGCGCGUAGGCGGACGGCUUUGUCGGGCGUGAAAUUCCAGGGCUUAACCUUGGGGCUGCGUUCGAGACGGGUUGUCUAGAGUUUGGAAGAGGGUCGUGGAAUUCCCAGUGUAGAGGUGAAAUUCGUAGAUAUUGGGAAGAACACCGGUGGCGAAGGCGGCGACCUGGUCCUUGACUGACGCUGAGGCGCGAAAGCUAGGGUAGCAAACGGG